rnacentral:rRNA from 1 species
CCCCCUAGUAAACGGCGAGUGAAAGCGGGAAAGAAGCUCAAAUUUAAAAAUCUCUGUAAGGUUCAACCUUGCCGAGUUGUAGUUUGAAGAAGUGUUUUCCGCGGCGGCUGCAGUACAAAUCCUUUGGAACAGGGUAUCAGAGAGGGUGAGAAUCCCGUCUUUGACUGCAGACUAGUUGCACUGUGAUACACUUUCUAAGAGUCGAGUUGUUUGGGAAUGCAGCUCAAAAUGGGUGGUAAAUUUCAUCUAAAGCUAAAUAUUGGCAAGAGACCGAUAGCGAACAAGUACCGUGAGGGAAAGAUGAAAAGAACUUUGAAAAGAGAGUUAAAUAGUACGUGAAAUUGUUAAAAGGGAAACGCUUGAAGUCAGUGUUGCCGGCGGAAAAUCAGCUUCAGACUGGAGACUUGCGUGGGUGGAGGGAGUGUUAAAACCCCUUGCCUACGUACAGGAACUUGGAUGGAGUGCACUUUUCAGUCGGCAGGUCAACAUCAAUUUCAGCCGGUGGAAAAAAGCUAGCGGAACGUAGGUUGGAGCAAUCUAACUGUUAUAGCCGCCAGCCAAUACACUGGGUGGGAUUGAGGACAGCAGUGCAGGCCAUUAUGGCGGAAGCUCAGUGUCAUUCUCCGGGGGGCAUGUCAAGACAGCUUGCUGACUUGGUGUGUACACUCUUGGGAACGAUGCGGAUGUACUUCUCCUGCACUAAGGAUGUUGACGAAAUGGCUUUAAACGACCCGUCUUGAAACACGGACCAAGGAGUCUAACAAAUAUGCGAGUAUUUGGGUGGCAAACCCAUAUGCGCAAUGAAAGUGAAUGUAGGUGGGAUCUCACGCUUCGGCGAGGGUGCACCAUCGACCGAUCUGGAUUAUUUUAUGAUAGAUUUGAGUAAGAGCAUAUCUGUUGGGACCCGAAAGAUGGUGAACUAUGCCUGAAUAGGGUGAAGCCAGAGGAAACUCUGGUGGAGGCUCGUAGCGAUUCUGACGUGCAAAUCGAUCGUCAAAUUUGGGUAUAGG